rnacentral:lncRNA from 1 species
GGAGAAAGAAGAGGGCCAGGCACCACGUGCCUGCACUCUCCCUGGAUGCUGGAGGCUGCUCCGCCGUGGGCAGGAGGAGAAGGAAGAGAACUGGGUGCCGCCUGCCUGCACUCUCUCCGGAUGCUGGAGGCUGGAGGCAGUGAGGCAGCAACAGCGCGAGGGCGAGGCGACUUUGGAGCUGCCUCAUGCAGCGACCUCGCCUUCCGCUGCGCCUCCUCCCAGAACCCAAGAAGCCUGGAACCUGUGGCGUCCAGCCCUGAAAGGAGGAGACGGCAACCCAGCCGCGCUUUUGCCUGCACUCUCCCUGGAUGCUGGAGGCUGGAGGCAGUGACGCAGCAACAGCGCGAGGCGACUUUGGAGCGGCCUCAUAUAGCGACCUCGCCUUCCGCUGCGCGUCCUCCCAGAGCCCAAGAAGCCCGGAACCUGUGGCAUCCAUCUCUGAAAGGAGAAGACGGCAACCCAGCCGAGGGUGAGUCCGGGAGUCUGGGGUGCCGGCAGCGGAGGAAGGACAAGCAGGAGUCUCGGCCUCCCGGGGAGAAUUUCACAAAAUUCUCUGAUUAUCUUGUUAUAAUACUGUUA